UUUGAUUGCCACAAGAAACAAACUUGUCGAUCACUCACCCGCCAAAUCAAUUUUCAAUAGCACCCAGUGGAAUUUCAAUUCCCUCCAUUUUCCCUCGAAAUUCAAUUCCUCUCUUCACUCUCUAAAAACCUAAUAAAUUCAACAAUUUCCCCUCUCCCAUUUCCAUUCCCUGCAUUUUCUUUCCCUUUCCAUGGCUGAAUGUGAAGCUCCCUCCUUCUCCCUCGGCUUCGAUCUAACCCUCGACACGCCCCCACCUUCUCCUCCUCCUCCUCCUCCCGCCAUCCCCGACGACGACGAAUCCCUCCAAGCCCCGGACUCCGAUCCCGAUACCGAUACCCGACCCGACCCGCCUCGUUCCCUCCUCAAACGCCUCCGCCGCGGCCCUCCACCUUCCACCCCCGAGCAGGUAGAUCCACCUCCACCUCCGCCGCCGCCGUGCUUCGACGCCGACGAUGACAUCGAGGAGUUCUCCUCGCAGGAUGAACCUCUUCAAGAGCAUGCACAUUCGUCGGUGCGGAAUCGUUCUGUGUGUAGUAGUUCGAAGGUCUCGUUGAGUGGUUCUGGGGUUUUUACUCCUCAUUCAGGUAGUAACAGUGGGGAGAGGAAGAGAAAGCAAGGUUCGGAUAUUCCGGCUUCUUCGAGGAUGGAUACAGGGCAGAGUGGGUUUGUGUUUCCAGAGUUAACGGCUAGUCCUCUUCGAAGGUUUCACUUGAUUGAUUCAGAUUCGGAUGACUCUGGAGGUGAGGAUGUUAGUGGUUUGAAUGAAGUUGAUCCCGGCUUAAAGGAGGCAAUGAGUAACCAAAGCAAGCCUUCGAGCUCUUUGGGACAAAAUAGAAAAACAUCGUUUCAUGUCAACCAAAAUCCGGAUCUGUGGAAAGAUUUUUCUCCAGUGAAGCCUUUUUCUGUUCCAACACCUGCAUUCAAUGAGAUAUGUGAAGAAUACUUUAAUUCUGCAAAGCAUAAGACAGUGGAGCAGUCAGGGAUUGAUAUAUCUGAAAGUCACAAUGAGAGAUAUCUUGGGGUUAAUUCUAGCUUCCAAAAGGAUCCACAACUAUCAGAAUCUACAGACCCUCUUCCUCCUGCUCAUCGUUAUUUUUUCCAUGAGGAUCCAAGAAUUCGGCAGUUAGUUUGCAGUCGCCUGUGUAAUUUUUCUCCGCUCCGUGUCAACAGGGUGAAUCAGCAACCAAAUGCCUCACAUAUUGAUUACAUGGGGCAAUUUGACAAUGGAGGAGCUUCUAAAACACAGGGAGUUAAAGUUAACAGCACAACAAGCAGAAAAAAUAAAUCAAAAAUUUCAAGUGUUGAGGAAACAUUUAAUGCUUCUGAAGGCUGGGUGGACCCCAAAGUUAUUUCUCAUUUCAGCAGUGGAGAAUCCAGUAGAAAGAAAGCAACUAAGAGAAAUAGCACCAAGAACAGUGUGUCAAAACGGAGAAAUGAAACAAACAAAUCAAAUUCUUCAAAUGUUCCUUAUGCUUCUGGAAAUUGGGUAGAACCCAAGAGCUGCACAAGUAUGCCAAAGGAUGCUGGCAAAAGGCGUGUUCAAGCAGGUGUUCAAGAAGGUGUUCAAUCUGCUGGUCAUUGGUUUACAAAUUCAGAUGGAAGAAAGGUUUAUGUCAACAAAAGUGGGAAGGAGUUGACUGGCCGGAUUGCUUAUUCACAUUAUCGGAAGGAGAGUGGCAAAGGAUUCAAGAAAUCCAGAAAGAAAACAAGUGCCAAGAAGACAAAUUCCAAGAAGAAAAACUAAACAUUUGAUGACAACGUUCUAUUUUUGUUCCGCGGCUCCACAUCCUGUAAAUUACUUGUGGGUCUUGUUGCUAGCGUUUGAUUGCAUUCAAUUACAAUAAACUUCUGGCGUCAUGUAUUUUGGAUGGGGCAGGGAAGCUAGCUAUGUAGCAUGUGCAGUAUAAAAUGCCAGGAAAUGAUACAGGACUGUUGUUGAUGAGUGAUGUUUUAAUGCGAAAGAAUCCUUGGAAGUAAAUAUUUUCAUGAGGUAUUUGUAGAUGAGAGAUAGUAGAACAAAGAAGAAUGAGAACAAGGUUUAAGUGAAUGAAGGCAUUUGGAAGACCCUUCAAGUGACUGUGUUGAUGUUUAACUGACAUAAUACUAAGUAAUGAAGCUGGCAGACGAUGUAAACUUAAAUUAGGACGAUCAUGGGAUGAGAUUAACAUACAUGCGCACACCUAUCUUAUCUGAUAAUUAGGUUUUUUUUGUCAAAAUCGUUAUAUCACUGUUCCUUAGAUGUUGCAGUUAUUUAAUAAUGCUAGUACUAUUCUC